GCCCUAGUAACGGCGAGUGAAGCGGCAACAGCUCAAAUUUGAAAUCUGGCCUUCGGGUCCGAGUUGUAAUUUGUAGAGGAUGCUUUUGGUGCGGUACCUUCCGAGUUCCCUGGAACGGGACGCCAUAGAGGGUGAGAGCCCCGUCUGGUUGGAUACCAAUCCUCUGUAAAGCUCCUUCGACGAGUCGAGUAGUUUGGGAAUGCUGCUCUAAAUGGGAGGUAUAUGUCUUCUAAAGCUAAAUACCGGCCAGAGACCGAUAGCGCACAAGUAGAGUGAUCGAAAGAUGAAAAGCACUUUGAAAAGAGAGUUAAAAAGUACGUGAAAUUGUUGAAAGGGAAGCGCUUGUGACCAGACUUGGGCUUGGUUGAUCAUCCUGGGUUCUCCCUGGUGCACUCUUCCAGUCCAGGCCAGCAUCAGUUUGUUUCGGGGGAUAAAGGCUUCGGGAAUGUGGCUCCCUCGGGAGUGUUAUAGCCCGUUGUGUAAUACCCUGAAGCAGACUGAGGUUCGCGCUCUGCAAGGAUGCUGGCGUAAUGGUCAUCAGCGACCCGUCUUGAAACACGGACCAAGGAGUCGUCUUCGUAUGCGAGUGUUCGGGUGUUAAACCCCUACGCGUAAUGAAAGUGAACGCAGGUGAGAGCUUCGGCGCAUCAUCGACCGAUCCUGAUGUUCUCGGAUGGAUUUGAGUAAGAGCAUACGGGGCCGGACCCGAAAGAAGGUGAACUAUGCCUGUAUAGGGUGAAGCCAGAGGAAACUCUGGUGGAGGCUCGCAGCGGUUCUGACGUGCAAAUCGAUCGUCAAAUAU
rnacentral:rRNA from 1 species